GCUGAAACUAUAUAUCUCAAUAACAACUCAUAUACCAACUGUAAAUGCGGCCAAGACGCCUCGAGAUACUGUUCUUCCUCUUCAGGUUCCACAUUUUCCGACCCAGUAUUCUCAUGUGACGCCGGAGGCAAGCACCGGAAUAUAUUAACAGAUAUCAUUUUCAACAUUUCUUCCUGAUUAAUUUCACUGAUUUUCAAAGAAUUAGAUUGAACGCAAUCCACAAGUUCGGCUAGUGUUUGUCGUUUGAUCUCUUUUUCCCU
rnacentral:misc_RNA from 1 species